UAUUAUUUAAGAAAUAAACACAUUUUUUCAGUAGGACUCCCAUUCCCCCCCCAUGAUGUCUCAGGCACUUGGUACAGUCUGAUUGACCACUUCCUGUAUUUAAGAGCUCUGCUUUCAGGUGUGCAUCUUCUGCUCCAAUCUGACAAGAUGUCCUCCAACAACAGCAACAGCAACUCCAGCACCGGUCAUGUGAUGACAACGAACCAUCCCCAUGACAACUGAGUAAACCUGCUUCAUUGAGGAAGGCCACAAGAUCCAUCUGAAAAGUUUGGAAAAAACAAACACUCCGUGAAGUGUUCACUAGUGCAGACACGCGCCACAGCCAUUGAUCAAACCUCAGCUUUCACUAAUGCUCGGACAUCUCAUUGGAACAUUCUCCAGCACAGCCGCCUUGUGUUUCUUCGGGUGCUCGGGCCGCUUGUCCUGUAAUCCCCUAACCCAGCCCUGGGACCUG